rnacentral:antisense_RNA from 1 species
AACCGACAUCAGCGACUCAUUGUGCGAACCGGCGCCGACCGCAAGAUAGGCAUUCAUGCCCAGCUCUUUCAUCUGCUGUUCGCCGAUAACACGGGUCGUAACGUUUUUGCUGUAAGCGUCCGCCAGCUGGCGUGCCUGCGAAGCGAGAUAGGCCGCAUUACAGAUAUUUGGCGGCAUGUUGCUGAGAUCUUUUGC